GGGUUCAGUGGUAGCACAUCUUCUUGGCAUGCAGAAGGUCACGGGUUCAAUCCCCAGCAGUUCCA
rnacentral:tRNA from 1 species